rnacentral:rRNA from 1 species
UGCAGUCGAACGAGUUGUUUAUAGUAGCAAUAUUGUAAACGGCAAGUGGCGAACGGGUGAGUAACACGUAGAUAAUCUGCCUUUCAGACGGGGAUAACUCAGGGAAACUUGUGCUAAUACCCGAUGAGACUACGGGAGGGGACUUCUGUAGCCAAAGGUGGGGGCAACCUCGCGCUGAAAGAUGAGUCUGCGUCCUAUCAGCUAGUUGGUGGGGUAAAAGCCUACCAAGGCGAAGACGGGUAGCCGGCCUGAGAGGGUGAACGGCCACACUGGGACUGAGACACGGCCCAGACUCCUACGGGAGGCAGCAGUGAGGAAUUUUCCGCAAUGGGCGCAAGCCUGACGGAGCGACGCCGCGUGAGGGAUGACGGCCUUCGGGUUGUAAACCUCUUUUAUUAAGGAAAAAGGCAAUCGUGCUAAUACCACGGUUGUUUGAUGGUACUUAUUGAAUAAGCCCCGGCUAACUACGUGCCAGCAGCCGCGGUAAUACGUAGGGGGCGAGCGUUGUCCGGAGUUACUGGGCGUAAAGAGCGUGUAGGCGGUUGGAAAAGUCAGGUGUGAAAUUCUUCGGCUCAACCGAGAGACUGCGCCUGAAACUUUCCGACUGGAGUUUGGGAGGGGCAACUGGAAUUCCUGGUGUAACGGUGAAAUGUGUAGAUAUCAGGAGGAACACCCGUGGCGAAGGCGGGUUGCUGGACCAAAACUGACGCUGAGACGCGAAAGCGUGGGUAGCAAACAGGAUUAGAUACCCUGGUAGUCCACGCUGUAAACGAUGAGUGC